rnacentral:lncRNA from 1 species
GUUAAACCAUUAGUGAUUAACAGUCCAGAAGGUGGACUGUCAUGUCCUUGGAUCCUGUUAAGUUAGUCAUGUAUAUUUAAUAUAUUGUUUACAUUAUGUGUUUGACUUUUUUCUUUGUUUGUUUUCAAAUGAGAAGUCACAGGGAAGAAAUACAUAAAGCUAUUACAAUGUUUGGAUUUUAAACUUUUUAAGACUUUUUCCAUUUGUACACGUAAUGGAGAAAAUGUGAGACAUUACCAAUAUUUAUUUUUCACAGGGGUUCCCCCUAACAUUCCCUGGUUAAUGGCUACACAGCAGAAGGAUUAACAUUUAAACAUUUUUAAUGUGAAUUUGAACGAUUUUUUAAUUAAUGCAAAUUUGAGGAUUAUUUUACAUACAGACCUAAGUCAGAUUAUUAUGGUCGGUAUCAAUUAAAAUAUUUUCUAUCUUUAGUUUUCCAACAGUUAAUCUGAGCACGAUUUUUCAAAAGGCAGUAGUAAACAUAGAUAUACUGUUUCAUAGGUGUUAUAUUGACUCACAGUAUCCAGUGUAAAAAAACAAUCCUUUCUACAGUCUCAGGAGCAACUGGCAAGGGAUCUGAAGUUAUGAACAGUGAGAUCUGGCUUUGCAUGUAUGUUCAUUAGUAUACCCAUUAACUUUAAUAUAAUUAUUUAUUCUUGCACAAAUGAGAGUUUUGGAAGAAGAAAUUACUUCGUCACAUGCUGUGGUCCAGAAAGCUUUUGCAGGAACUGCAGUCAAUGACAGACUUUACAUUUUUUCAUGUCUCCAGGAAUCUACUUAAAGCUAAAUUACAGCAAGCCUGUGAGACAUCUCCAUCUAAAUAAGACAGCUACUUAGCUGCAGAAGUUAUAUGAAAGCAGGAUGAGAUAUGAAGCAACAAAGGUACAUCGAUGGCAUUGUAACUUAAGCUGUAUACAAUGCAAAGAGCCACAGAUGUUUAACCAAGUUGUUUUCACUUUUCUUUGUAUUCAACAUUUUCUUUUAAUAACACAUUUUGUAAAACAGUUUUAAUUGAAGGUUCGUGUAUAACAUUAGAUUUUUACAUUGCUUAAUGCAUUUAUCCGCUUAAAAGAUUAACUCUUCUGGUAAUACUUAGCGUUAUUUAGUUGUACUCAGUAAUACUUAGAAUAUAAUGACUAUUGAUACGGCAUGUUUCUUCACUUAACUGCUUUGGAUUUAGCAUUAAAAAAUGUUUUCUCCAUCUUAUAGAUAAACAGCAUAUAGUGUUUAUCUACUCAUAGGUCACUUCAUGGUUUAACAUUUGAUUUAAAUGUACUUUGUUGCCUACUCUGCCUUUCUUAAAAAUAGAAAAAAUGUCUGUGUUAUGGUUUCCCCUUUUCUACCAAACGGGUAAAGGUUCAGACUAAAGGCUUGACUUGUUCUGUAUUUGUGUGAGCACUCUUUCAUUAUUUCAGUAGUUCUCCUGUCCUGGUGGAGCUUUCAUACUAACAAAGGAUGCCUCAGUUAACCAUGAGGAGUAUCCUUCAACUUUAAUCACUUAUGUUUGGAUUAUUUUUAUUUUCACUUUUUUGUUAUCUCUUUAUUUUUAUUUUGACCAACCAAUUUCAGAAGUUGCAACUCUUUCUUAUUUUUUGGAGGUCUGUUGCUGAAUAUGUAGCUCACAGUUGCACAAUUGCAGUGGAGUAAUAAAGCAGAUUGUUAAGAAGCUAAGUUUAAUUAC